rnacentral:rRNA from 1 species
GAACGCGAAGAACCUUACCUGGGUUUGACAUGCACAGGACGCUGGUAGAGAUAUCAGUUCCCUUGUGGCCUGUGUGCAGGUGGUGCAUGGCUGUCGUCAGCUCGUGUCGUGAGAUGUUGGGUUAAGUCCCGCAACGAGCGCAACCCUUGUCCUAUGUUGCCAGCGGGUUAUGCCGGGGACUCGUAGGAGACUGCCGGGGUCAACUCGGAGGAAGGUGGGGAUGACGUCAAGUCAUCAUGCCCCUUAUGUCCAGGGCUUCACACAUGCUACAAUGGCCGGUACAAAGGGCUGCGAUGCCGUGAGGUGGAGCGAAUCCUUGUAAAGCCGGUCUCAGUUCGGAUCGGGGUCUGCAACUCGACCCCGUGAAGUCGGAGUCGCUAGUAAUCGCAGAUCAGCGACGCUGCGGUGAAUACGUGCCCGGGUCUUGUACACACC